GAUGAACGCUGGCGGCGUGCCUAAUACAUGCAAGUCGAGCGAACAGACGAGGAGCUUGCUCCUCUGACGUUAGCGGCGGACGGGUGAGUAACACGUGGAUAACCUACCUAUAAGACUGGGAUAAUUUCGGGAAACCGGAGCUAAUACCGGAUAAUAUAUUGAACCGCAUGGUUCAAUAGUGAAAGACGGUUUUGCUGUCACUUAUAGAUGGAUCCGCGCUGCAUUAGCUAGUUGGUAAGGUAACGGCUUACCAAGGCAACGAUGCGUAGCCGACCUGAGAGGGUGAUCGGCCACACUGGAACUGAGACACGGUCCAGACUCCUACGGGAGGCAGCAGUAGGGAAUCUUCCGCAAAGGGCGAAAGCCUGACGGAGCAACGCCGCGUGAGUGAUGAAGGUCUUCGGAUCGUAAAGCUCUGUUAUUAGGGAAGAACAAAUGUGUAAGUAACUAUGCACGUCUUGACGGUACCUAAUCAGAAAGCCACGGCUAACUACGUG
rnacentral:rRNA from 1 species